GCACAACGCGAAGAACCUUACCAAGGCUUGACAUACACCAGAACACCCUAGAAAUAGGGGACUCUUUGGACACUGGUGAACAGGUGGUGCAUGGUUGUCGUCAGCUCGUGUCGUGAGAUGUUGGGUUAAGUCCCGCAACGAGCGCAACCCUCGUUCUAUGUUGCCAGCACGUAAUGGUGGGAACUCAUGGGAUACUGCCGGGGUCAACUCGGAGGAAGGUGGGGAUGACGUCAAAUCAUCAUGCCCCUUAUGUCUUGGGCUUCACGCAUGCUACAAUGGCCGGUACAAAGGGCUGCAAUACCGUGAGGUGGAGCGAAUCCCAAAAAGCCGGUCCCAGUUCGAAUUGAGGUCUGCAACUCGACCUCAUGAAGUCGGAGUCGCUAGUAAUCGCAGAUCAGCAACGCUGCGGUGAAUACGUUCCCGGGUCUUGUACACACCG
rnacentral:rRNA from 1 species